UACGGAGGGUGCAAGCGUUAUCCGGAUUUACUGGGUUUAAAGGGUGCGUAGGUGGAUAAUUAAGUCAGUGGUGAAAUCUUCAGGCUUAACCUGGAAACUGCCAUUGAUACUAUUUGUCUUGAAUACUUUGGAGGUAAGCGGAAUAUGUCAUGUAGCGGUGAAAUGCUUAGAUAUGACAUAGAACACCAAUUGCGAAGGCAGCUUGCUACACGAUCAUUGACACUGAGGCACGAAAGCGUGGGGAUCAAACAGG
rnacentral:rRNA from 1 species